GACGUACGUCGUGCGCGCAGGCGGGGGAAUACGGUGUGGGCGAGCGUUGUUAGAAAUUACUGGGCGUAAAGCGCACGUAGGUGGAGUAUUAAGUCAGAUGUCAAAGGCUACGGCUCAACCGGAGUAAGCCUCUGAAACUGAGGAACUUGAGUAUAGGAGAGGAAAGUGGAAUUCCCAGUGUAGCGGUGAAAUGCGUAGAUAUUGGGAGGAACACCAGUGGCGAAGGCGACUUUCUGGACUAUAACUGACGCUGAGGCACGAAAGCGUGGGGAGCAAACAGGAUUAGAUACCCGAGUAGUC
rnacentral:rRNA from 1 species